rnacentral:rRNA from 1 species
UACAGGGGGAGCAAGCGUUAUCCGGAAUGAUUGGGCGUAAAGCAUUCGUAGGUGGUUUAUAAAGUCUACUGUUAAAUUCCAGAGCUUAACUUUGACAAAGCAGUGGAGUACUUAUAAACUAGAGCGUGAUAGGGGUAGAGGGAAUUCCCUGUGAAACGGUGAAAUGUGUAGAUAUAGGGAAGAACACCAUUAGCGAAAGCGCUCUACUGGGUCAAAGCUGACACUGAGGGAUGAAAGUAUGGGGAGCAAAUAGG